rnacentral:lncRNA from 1 species
UGGGCUGAGCCUGCUGCUCGAGGCUUAGAAGUGGACCUGGGCCUCCUGCCUAGGGUUUGGUUGCCUAGGGUUUGGUGGGAGUGGUGUCGUGGCUUGGUGGCCUUACCGUGGCUGCUGGGUCACGGUGGUGAUGAUGGUGGUACGACUAUGCGGCAGUGGGGCUCCUCAUGUUGUCGUGUUAAGCCUUGAGGAUCUCCAUCGUGGGGCUAUGUCCUGGUCUCCACUCUCUGGUCCAAAUCCUUCCACGUAUGGGGUUUCUUUCGUCAUAGUUUCUGAAUUUCCUACCAUUGUAUCCUUUCUCCAGGGAUUGAUCAAGAAACUUUUCUAGGAAAAAUUAAUUGAUAUGACGUGAGAAAUUCAACGUAACAGAAAAUUCAAGAAACUAAUGCGAGUGGCUUCUUCGAGUAUUUUGAAUCAGCUCUCAAUGAAAGCACCAAUUUAUCGAUGUAAAUUUCCGCCGUCUUCAGUUUUGACGAAAAUGCACCUGCAAAACAAUCAACACCUUUGAUCAGAGGCCUAAGCCUCACGAGCCCACGAGGUAGGGGGGUUAGGUCAACGGAUCUCUGAUGCCUAAGUUAGUUUCUCUGAGACAGUAAAGUGUUUAGGGCUUUUUUUAGGGUUGCAAAAGCUGUGAAAAGUUGGUAGAAUAUGAGGUAUUUAUAGGGCUAGGGCCGGCCAUAUAGUGUUUAAUGGAGAGAGAUUCUCUAAAUAUUCCCAAGAUAUUAAAUAGGAAAUAAUAUCUUGAGAUAAUGGUAUAAUUAUCGUAAUUUAAAUAAAUUAGGAUUACUUACUUGAUUGUAGUUAUUCUUGAAGUAAGAAUGUAUUAAAGAUAGGAUUUGGAUAAUUAAUCCUUAUCCUUAAUUCCUUGCCAAAGGCAGAUGAGCUGUGGGCAGUUGUGUUCAGCUGCUUAGUCCUUCAGGGAUGUAAGCUGCGCGUGGGAGCAUCUGGGAAGCCUGCCCUUUUAUUAAGGGCAAUCUUGUCCUUCUAAAAUAAAAGUCCACGUGUGUCCUCUAUAAUAUUUGGGAUUAUUUUAGGCUCCACAAUUGUCAUCUAGUAGAAUGCAUAACUCCACGUGUGGCCUCUAGAAUAUGUGGGAUUAUUUUAGGCUUCACAAUUGUCAUCUAGUAGAAUGCAUAAUUCUCUGUUGAACACUGUAACCCAAAGUUGGUAAUUAACUAGCACUCCACACGUGCUUGCAUUUGAUGUAUCAGUACACAUUGAUCGUAAUGCUCUAUACAACAACAACAACAACAACAAAGCCUUUUCCCACUAAGUGGGGUCGGCUAUAUGAAUCCUAGAACGC